UACGUAGGGUGCAAGCGUUGUCCGGAAUUAUUUGGGCGUAAAGAGCUCGUAGGCGGUCUGUUGCGUCGGCUGUGAAAACCCGAGGCUCAACCUCGGGCCUGCAGCCGAUACGGGCAGACUAGAGUUCGGCAGGGGAGACUGGAAUUCCUGGUGUAGCGGUGAAAUGCGCAGAUAGUCAAGGAGGAACACCGGUGGGCGAAGGCGG
rnacentral:rRNA from 1 species